rnacentral:rRNA from 1 species
UGGGGAAUUUUGCACAAUGGGGGAAACCCUGAUGCAGCGACGCCGCGUGAUUUAGAAGGCCUUCGGGUUGUAAAAAUCUUUUCUAUGGGAAGAAAAUGACAGUACCAUAGGAAUAAGGACCGGCUAAUUACGUGCCCGCAGCCGCGGUAAUACGUAAGGUCCGAGCGUUGUCCGGAAUCAUUGGGCGUAAAGGGUACGUAGGCGGGUAAGCAAGUUAGAAGUGAAAUCCUAUAGCUCAACUAUAGUAAGCUUUUAAAACUGCUCAUCUUGAGGUAUGGAAGGGAAAGUGGAAUUCCUAGUGUAGCGGUGAAAUGCGCAGAUAUUAGGAGGAAUACCGGUGGAGAAGGCGACUUUCUGGCCAUAACCUGACGCUGAGGUACGAAAGCGUGGGUAGCAAACAGG